UUAAGGGACCCAAAGAUACCAGAACUUGUGAAUUUCGCGGAGUAUGCUGCACCUGAGUCACGAUAUUGUCCUGCACGUGUAUACGAGUAUGUCCCAGACAAUGAGAUCAGCUAAAGUUGCAGAUCAACGCUCAAAACUGCCUGCAUUGCAAGGCUUGUGACAUCAAGGACCAAAGCAAAAUAUAGAAUGGACAGUGCCAGAGGGAGGUGGUGGUCCAGGC